GACGAACGCUGGCGGCGUGCCUAACACAUGCAAGUCGAACGGGGUAGAGAGCUUCGGCUUUCUACUUAGUGGCGAACGGGUGAGUAACGCGUGAGAAACCUGCCUUUCAGUGGGGGACAACAGUUGGAAACGACUGCUAAUACCGCAUAAUGUUAUUUGAGGGCAUCCUCGAAUAACCAAAGCUUUAUGUGCUGAAAGAUGGUCUCGCGUCUGAUUAGCUAGUUGGCGGGGUAACGGCCCACCAAGGCGACGAUCAGUAGCCGGUCUGAGAGGAUGAACGGCCACAUUGGGACUGAGACACGGCCCAGACUCCUACGGGAGGCAGCAGUGGGGAAUAUUGGGCAAUAGGGGAAACCCUGACCCAGCAACGCCGCGUGAGGGAAGAAGGUCUUCGGAUCGUAAACCUCUGUCCUUAGUGAAGAGCAAGAGACGGUAGCUAAGGAGGAAGCCCCGGCUAACUACGUG
rnacentral:rRNA from 1 species